UACAGAGGUCUCAAGCGUUGUUCGGAUUCAUUGGGCGUAAAGGGUGUGUAGGUGGCGCGCUAAGUCGGGUGUGAAAUUUCGGAGCUUAACUCCGAAACUGCAUUCGAUACUGGCGUGCUUGAGGACUGGAGAGGAGACUGGAAUUCAUGGUGUAGCAGUGAAAUGCGUAGAGAUCAUGAGGAAGACCAGUGGCGAAGGCGGGUCUC
rnacentral:rRNA from 1 species